UACGGGGGGAGCAAGCGUUGUUCGGAUUUACUGGGCGUAAAGGGCGCGUAGGCGGCCACCGCAAGUCGACUGUGAAAUCUCUGGGCUUAACCCAGAAAGGUCAGCCGAUACUGCGGGGCUAGAGUGCAGAAGGGGCAACUGGAAUUCUCGGUGUAGCGGUGAAAUGCGUAGAUAUCGAGAGGAACACCAGUGGCGAAGGCGACUACCUGGCCUGUUCUUGACGCUGAGGUGCGAAAGCGUGGGGAGCAAACAGG
rnacentral:rRNA from 1 species